UUAUGUUGGGUGAGCAGGGCAUUGCGGGCUUCUAUCCAAGCGGAGGAUGGUGGCGCAGGCCGAGAUGCAUGAGAAAGUUCCAAAAACAGCUGGGAGAACAUUUAACGAAACACGACUUGGUUAAAACCUGACUGUCUUAACCAGUGAGAGUCGCUGUCUGCCCGUUGAAAGAGGCCGCCUUGUUGUGAAAUUCCUACAUUGCAGCAAUUUCUGACCAGUACCAUGGAGUUUGCUGGUCUUUUAUGUGAAAAGCUGGUGAUAACAAAGAUGUCCAGGAAAAGCUCUUCAUUUUACGAACAUGAAAGGAAAACAUACAAUUUUGGAUUAUUGAUUUUUU